rnacentral:tRNA from 1 species
AUGGCUGUAGUUGAGUAGUGAGAAUUCCACGUUGUGGCCUUGGAGACCUGGGCUUGAAUCCCAGCAGCCACA